ACAAUGGACGAAAGUCUGAUCCAGCUAUGCCGCGUGCAGGAUGACGGCCCUAUGGGUUGUAAACUGCUUUUAUACAGGAAGAAAAACUCCGACGUGUCGGAACUUGACGGUACUGUAAGAAUAAGGAUCGGCUAACUCCGUGCCAGCAGCCGCGGUAAUACGGAGGAUCCAAGCGUUAUCCGGAAUCAUUGGGUUUAAAGGGUCCGUAGGCGGUUUUUUAAGUCAGAGGUGAAAUCCUGCAGCUCAACUGUAGAAUUGCCUUUGAUACUGAAAGACUUGAGUUAUUGUGAAGUGGUUAGAAUGUGUGGUGUAGCGGUGAAAUGCAUAGAUAUCACACAGAAUACCAAUUGCGAAGGCAGAUCACUAACAAUAUACUGACGCUCAGGGACGAAAGCGUGGGUAGCGAACAGGAUUAGAUACCCUGGUAGUCCACGCCGUAAACGAUGGAUACUAGCUGUAUGUCUACUUCAGGUAGAUGUGUGGCUAAGCGAAAGUGAUAAGUUCCCACCUGGAGACUCCCUA
rnacentral:rRNA from 1 species